GCCCAGUCCCCGACCCACCUGUCAGGAGGCAGGUUUCUUAGUUCCCAAGCUCGGAAAUCUGUCUCCUUGCUUACUUCGCUGCAAACCGGAAGUAUGCGAACUUGAGAAGGGGGAAGCUGGAGGGAAUCAGGUGUGAGAAGGAGUUUCCGUAUUCCCAGGCUGGCCUGGAACUCUCUAUGUAUCUGAGGAAGACCUUGGACCUCAGAUUCUCCAGCCUUGACCUCUCAGGUACUGGGGUUACCGCACUGCAUCACCAGGCCUGGCUUUGCUUUUGCGUGGCUUAUGUUUCUUGCAUGUCUGGGGAAAUGUACUUUGUCUAGACAUAUGUUCCUAAGUUUAUGCAUAAUAGCUCCGGGGGGUAGGGUAGAAAACCAAAUAUCUGGCUUUUUUCCACUUCUAUUAAGAGAAACAAGAUCUGCCUCCUUCUAAGACUCAUGUAGCAGUGAAUUCAUCAUUUAAGAAAGGGAUUUGGAGGUCAGGCCCCAACCCAAUGAGUAAGCCAGCCAGGCAACAACCACAGCAGUGCUAAGCCCUGGCAUCCACAUCUAGA
ensembl:lncRNA